GCCAGGCUUGGUGGUCCAUGCCUGUCAUUCAAGCUACUCUGGAGGCUGAGGCAGGAGGAUCACAAAUUCAAGGUCAAUCUGGGCAAUUUAGUGAGACCCUGUCUCAA
rnacentral:sRNA from 1 species